rnacentral:rRNA from 1 species
ACGAACGCUGGCGGCAUGCCUAAUACAUGCAAGUCGAGCGAACAGAUGAAGUGCUUGCACUUCUGACGUUAGCGGCGAACGGGUGAGUAACACGUAAGGAAUCUACUUAUAAGCGGGGAUAACAUUCGGAAACGGGUGCUAAUACCGCAUAAUAUCUUCUUCCGCAUGGAAGAAGAUUGAAAGACGGCUCUGCUGUCACUUAUAGAUGACCUUGCGGUGCAUUAGUUAGUUGGUGGGGUAACGGCCUACCAAGACGAUGAUGCAUAGCCGACCUGAGAGGGUGAUCGGCCACAUUGGGACUGAGACACGGCCCAAACUCCUACGGGAGGCAGCAGUAGGGAAUCUUCCGCAAUGGGCGAAAGCCUGACGGAGCAAUGCCGCGUGAGUGAAGAAGGCCUUCGGGUCGUAAAACUCUGUUAUAGGAGAAGAACAAAUUGUAGAGUAACUGCUACAGUCUUGACGGUAUCUUAUCAGAAAGCCACGGCUAACUACGUG